UCUCAGGUGAGCCCAGUGGUGGGAAGCAGCCACCUGCCUUCCAGUGGCCCAAGGAUGGGAGCGAAGGUUUCUAAGCGCUAACCCUCCGCAGGCUGGUCCUUGCACAAUCUUAUCGUUGAUUCUCACCCCACACUAGCAAGACAAGAAUCAUCACCAUGUAAUCUGGAGCUCAGAAUGUCUAAAGCCACCCUGACAGUAAAUGGUAAAGCUGGGAUUUGAACCCGGAUUCUUCCCAACGCCAGGGCUUGCUUCAUGGUUAAAAAUGCAUUACCUCUCCACUGACUCCUCCAAGUAACGCUCAAGUCAUGUGUGUCAUUCUCCAGGAAUCUUUUAAAAAAGGACUAAAACAGUAACUGAUUGGGAGUCCUCAGCUGAACAAAGCAAACACAGUAACAGCUAAGCAGAGGCCAGUGUAAUUGGUGAACUUGCCCCCGAGGUGGGACCUGAGCCCGCCUCUGACAUUAGCUUUGGCUUUCACUGCGCCUCCGGGCUCUUGCACGUCUCUAAGAAGCUGUAGGGUAGCAUCCUGAAGGGGUACUUGUUGCUCCAUCAAGUCAUUCCAAAGUGGGCCCUGCCAGGCGUGGAAGCUGUUGCUAGCUCUUUAUUUUCUAUUUUAGGCAAAUUGCAGGCAACCCUUUUAUUGGCACAUCCUACAAGCUCCUCCGCCCCUUCUCAUUGUUCCAUCUGCCUCCUGAGGAGGGUACCAAUAAUUUUCACUGGAAAGACCUGCUUCAUGUUUCUUCAUCUGGAAAGAAAUUAAUUUUCUAAGUCACACAAUUAUAGACAACUUUUGAAAGAGUUACCGGAGUGACAGUUUUGUGCUUACCUUAGAUGUUAAACAGUACCCUUUUUAAAAAAAAAGAAAAAUUUGAAUAAAAUUAAAGAAAAUUUUUUUUUUCUUUUUCAUGAAAUAAUUUUUUUAAAA
rnacentral:lncRNA from 1 species